rnacentral:rRNA from 1 species
UGCAAGUCGAACGAAAUCUUCGGAUUGAGUGGCGGACGGGUGAGUAACGCGUGAGAAUCUGCCUUGAGGAUGGGGACAACAGUUGGAAACGACUGCUAAAACCCAAUAUGGCGAAAGCUGAAAUAUUUAUAGCCUUGAGAGGAGCUCGCGUCCGAUUAGUUAGUUGGUGGUGUAAUGGACUACCAAGGCGGCGAUCGGUAGCUGGUCUGAGAGGAUGAGCAGCCACACUGGGACUGAGACACGGCCCAGACUCCUACGGGAGGCAGCAGUGGGGAAUUUUCCGCAAUGGGCGAAAGCCUGACGGAGCAAUACCGCGUGAGGGAGGAAGGUUUUUGGAUUGUAAACCUCUUUUAAUAAGGAAGAAGAAAGUGACGGUACUUAUUGAAUAAGCAUCGGCUAACUCCGUGCCAGCAGCCGCGGUAAUACGGAGGAUGCAAGCGUUAUCCGGAAUCAUUGGGCGUAAAGCGUCCGCAGGUGGCAAUUCAAGUCUGCUGUUAAAGACAGAAGCUCAACUUCUGAUAGGCAGUGGAAACUGGAUAGCUAGAGUACGGUAGGGGUUGAGGGAAUUCCCAGUGUAGCGGUGAAAUGCGUAGAUAUUGGGAAGAACACCAGUGGCGAAGGCGCUCAACUGGACCGUAACUGACACUCAGGGACGAAAGCUAGGGUAGCGAAAGGGAUUAGAUACCCCUGUAGUCCUAGCCGUAAACGAUGAACACUAGGCGUUGCUUGUAUCGACCCGAGCAGUGCCGUAGCCAACGCGUUAAGUGUUCCGCCUGGGGAGUACGCACGCAAGUGUGAAACUCAAAGGAAUUGACGGGGGCCCGCACAAGCGGUGGAGUAUGUGGUUUAAUUCGAUGCAACGCGAAGAACCUUACCAGGACUUGACAUCUCGAGAAUCCUUCAUAACCGAAGGAGUGCCUUAGG